GGGACACGUGGUAUCCUGUCUGAAUAUGGGGGGACCAUCCUCCAAGGCUAAAUACUCCUGACUGACCGAUAGUGAACCAGUACCGUGAGGGAAAGGCGAAAAGAACCCCGGCGAGGGGAGUGAAAAAGAACCUGAAACCGUGUACGUACAAGCAGUGGGAGCACGCUUAGGCGUGUGACUGCGUACCUUUUGUAUAAUGGGUCAGCGACUUAUAUUCUGUAGCAAGGUUAACCGAAUAGGGGAGCCGAAGGGAAACCGAGUCUUAACUGGGCGUUAAGUUGCAGGGUAUAGACCCGAAACCCGGUGAUCUAGCCAUGGGCAGGUUGAAGGUUGGGUAACACUAACUGGAGGACCGAACCGACUAAUGUUGAAAAAUUAGCGGAUGACUUGUGGCUGGGGGUGAAAGGCCAAUCAAACCGGGAGAUAGCUGGUUCUCCCCGAAAGCUAUUUAGGUAGCGCCUCGUGAAUUCAUCUCCGGGGGUAGAGCACUGUUUCGGCAAGGGGGUCAUCCCGACUUACCAACCCGAUGCAAACUGCGAAUACCGGAGAAUGUUAUCACGGGAGACACACGGCGGGUGCUAACGUCCGUCGUGAAGAGGGAAACAACCCAGACCGCCAGCUAAGGUCCCAAAGUCAUGGUUAAGUGGGAAACGAUGUGGGAAGGCCCAGACAGCCAGGAUGUUGGCUUAGAAGCAGCCAUCAUUUAAAGAAAGCGUAAUAGCUCACUGGUCGAGUCGGCCUGCGCGGAAGAUGUAACGGGGCUAAACCAUGCACCGAAGCUGCGGCAGCGACACUAUGUGUUGUUGGG
rnacentral:rRNA from 1 species